rnacentral:misc_RNA from 1 species
GUUACUAGGUCAUUGGAUCGAAA